rnacentral:lncRNA from 1 species
CGGGCAGCUUUCUACUUGUAUCUUUCUGUGUUUCUUCACGCACGCUUAUUCUUGUAUCUUUCGGCUUAAAGCCUCACGGCAACUUGGUCACAUCUGUAGACCCCUCAUCUUGUAACACAAAUAGGGUAAAUCCCUGUUUACUCAAAAAAAAAUAAUUUUCACCAACUAUUGUUAAAAGGCUUGCGCCCUAUGAUUUAAAGGAAAAUACAUAUACGUAUAGCACUAAUUAAGUGUAGUUAUAUGAAUAUUGAAUGAAAUUAUAUUAAAAGGAGUAGAUCAAAUCAUAUAAAAAAUGGAUAAAAUCAAAUGAAAAUACGAGAUAUAAUACAAUAUUAAAGGGUUCGAAUACAGUACAAAAACAUAAGCUAGUAGAUCAAGAAAUUGCUAACAUUACAUGCAAAAAAAAGGGCUUAGUACACUAUAAAAGCUAUUUUUUGAAAAUUAAAAUAGCUAGUCACUCUAGAUCAAAAUAUAAAAGGCAUUUUUUUAUAAUUUUUCGAACUUAUUUGAAUAGUGUUUACCCAUUAAAUUAACAACUCUGUCAAAUCAAACGUUAAAUUUGAGGUGACUUGAUAAAUGAGGAGAAUAUAGUAAAAUUUCAUAAAUUUUGGUUUGUGGUAAUAUCAAAUAUUCUAAAAUAUGUCUAAUGAUUUCGAUCGUCAAAUCAAACUCUUUAAAAUUGAUUUUGAGAAGAACAAGGUCCAACUCAAAUGUGAGGCCACGCAUUAUAUCACCGGAUGAUCUUAGACAGUUAUGUGAUUGGGCUGACUAGAAUGUCAUCGCGUAAAUAGGUGGAGUGAUACUAUAAAUAGUACCAUAUAGGAUAGGAACGAAAUUAUGAUGAAAUAUAUAAAGGCUAAAUUACAGAAAACCUCCCUGUAAUAACUUGCUUUUUCACUUCUCUCCCCUGACAUUUAAAAACCUACACUUUGCCCCCCUGUAAAAUGAGAAAUAUUCACAGGAGGGUUACGGUGUGUAAAAUGACCAUUUUGCCCCUCGCCAUUGUCGUCUUCUUUCCCAUCUUCCUCAGCCGCCCCUUCAUUCGGCCGCGAUUCCCACCUCAAUCGGCCGCAAUUUCUCUCCAUUUCCUUCUCUACCUGCUUCCCUUCUCCUCCUGCACCCUCGCCGCCCUCGAUUUCGGCGACAGUAGGAGAAAACCGAGGUGGGCGACAGUAGGAGAAGGGCAAAGAAGGCGAAGGCGAGGCGGCGGAGGACGGCGAAGGGGAUGUGGGUGAGGGCGAGGCAGUGGAGGACGGUGAGGCGGCUAGGCGGCGAGGCGGCGAGGCGACGGCGAGGUGGCGAGCCGGAGGGAGUCGAAGCAACAGGGAGAUGGCAGAGGGGUAUUUUCGGUAUAAAAAUAUAUUUUUUAAUGGAACCCUGACGGAAUUCUAACGGUAGGGGGUGAAGUGCACAUUUUUUAUUUUACAGGGGGGCAAAGUGUAGAUUUUUAAAUAUCAGGGAGGGAAAGUGAAAAAGCAAGUUAUUAUAAGGGGAUUUUCUGUAAUUUAGCCAUAUAUAAAUGACUAUGGACUCUAUUAAUAAUAAUUAAAUUUAAGUAUUUGUGCCGGUAAUUUAGACUUAAUAAAUUAUUAUUAUUAGCGAGUUGGACGUUACCUCAAAUUUUCUCAAAAGGUUGACUAAAUUUCAAGAAAAUGUGCAAUAAAAUAGAAUAUCUAUUAUUUUUUUUAAAGGAGGACUACUAAAGGCAUGGUGUGCAUCACGAUCGGAGCUUUACCUUUUAGCGGCAAUUUAAUGGUGGCAAUUUUUGAACAGCCUCCUCCUCCGAGAGCGCGGCGGCGUCGUCGUCGGCGGCGGCGCUCCGACGACCUCCCUCCGCCGCCACAUGCCAAUGACAGGGUCGGUGCUCCGCUAGGCGCCAAGGGCUGGGCCGACGAACCCGGGUUUCACUGGUGGAAGGAUAAAGAGGCCGAGAUCCUCAGCGACAUCGAGCCCAUCAUCGCCCGGGUUUGGUUAUUGUUUUCGUUUUGGAAUCUUGGCUCUAUUCUCUGCUACUAUUUGAGGAUCCUCUGCUUGCUUGUCUCUUCCCUUUUGCUAUGUAGGAAAGCUGAAAGAGAUCACAUUCUAGAAAAUUUGUAUUUGACCUGGCUCUGUUAUAUGCAUCUUUCACUUGAUCCAUAUUUAUACAAGCAAUUACAUACCUCAGUCUCACAUUUGUUCCAUUAUAGGAUUCACAAGGCAUCUUAAUAGAAGAGAACUCAAAU